AAACCAGUUGAUUAAAUAAUUGUGGAUUUGGUCAUAUUUGAUACCCCCUAUUAGGGCGUAUCAAAUAUGACCAAAUCCACAAUU